UACGGAGGGUGCGAGCGUUAAUCGGAAUUACUGGGAGUAAAGCGCGCGUAGGUGGCUUGAUCAGCCGGUUGUGAAAGCACCGGGAUCAACCUGGGAACGGCAUCCGGAACUGUCAGGCUAGAAUGCAGGAGAGGAAGGUAGAAUUCCCGGUGUAGCGGUGAAAUGCGUAGAGAUCGGGAGGAAUACCAGUGGCGAAGGCGGCCUUCUGGACUGACACUGACGCUGAGGUGCGAAAGCGUGGGUAGCAAACAGG
rnacentral:misc_RNA from 1 species